UGCCCAGCAACUCCUAUCCCUACCUCCUCGUGGUACUGCCCGGGGUACGAGUAACCUUAGGGAAGAUCGGGUAACCAACCCCCGGUGGGAACUUUGGUCGUAUGCUGACAGGGAAGG
rnacentral:ribozyme from 1 species